rnacentral:rRNA from 1 species
GAUGAACGCUGGCGGCGUGCCUAAUACAUGCAAGUCGAGCGAACGGACGAGAAGCUUGCUUCUCUGAUGUUAGCGGCGGACGGGUGAGUAACACGUGGAUAACCUACCUAUAAGACUGGGAUAACUUCGGGAAACCGGAGCUAAUACCGGAUAAUAUUAUGAACCGCAUGGUUCAAAAGUGAAAGACGGUCUUGCUGUCACUUAUAGAUGGAUCCGCGCUGCAUUAGCUAGUUGGUAAGGUAACGGCUUACCAAGGCAACGAUGCAUAGCCGACCUGAGAGGGUGAUCGGCCACACGGGAACUGAGAAACGGUCCAGACUCCUACGGGAGGCAGCAGUAGGGAAUUUUCCGCAAUGGGCGAAAGCCUGACGGAGCAACGCCGCGUGAGUGAUGAAGGUCUUCGGAUCGUAAAACUCUGUUAUUAGGGAAGAACAUAUGUGUAAGUAACUGUGCACAUCUUGACGGUACCUAAUCAGAAAGCCACGGCUAACUACGUG